ACAGACGCAUCCUACGUGCAUCACAACGAGAAUUUUUCACAAUUUGGAACAAAGAAGAGGGAAGUGGGUUCAUGAGCCCUCAACGCGUCGGAAGAGAGACAGUACGCCAGAAGUAAACUAUGCUCCUCCAAUACCUACCAUUGCAAACCGCUAUGAGCUAUUAAAUAACCUCAACACAACACAAUUGAGAACAGGUUAGACAGGAAAAGUGACGAAUUAGAGAAAAAAGGAACCGAAGCCUGGACAUCUUGCAGAUUGAGAAAACACCCAGUAACAAGGAAAGAUAAUUUUUUAUGAUCAACAGGUUUUAAAACUUGGAUAACUGCGAGGACUCAUAUUGGGAACAGCCCUAUCAUCAGUCAUGCGUUCAAGUUCUGUUUCAUCCACUUGUUCAGUUGCUCUGCUGUCUACCUCCA